rnacentral:rRNA from 1 species
UACGUAGGGGGCAAGCGUUGUCCGGAUUUAUUGGGCGUAAAGAGCGUGUAGGCGGCCUGACAGGUCUGCUGUGAAAUCUCGAGGCUCAACUUCGAGCUGUCGGUGGAAACUAUCUGGCUAGAGUCCGGAAGAGGAGAAUGGAAUUCCUGGUGUAGCGGUGAAAUGCGCAGAUAUCAGGAAGAACACCCGUGGCGAAGGCGGUUCUCUGGGACGGUACUGACGCUGAGACGCGAAAGCGUGGGGAGCGAACAGG